rnacentral:rRNA from 1 species
UACGUAGGGUGCAAGCGUUGUCCGGAAUUAUUGGGCGUAAAGGGCUCGUAGGCGGUCCAUCGCGUCGGGAGUGAAAAGCUGGGGCUCAACCCCAGUCCUGCUUCCGAUACGGGUGGACUAGAGGUAUGCAGGGGAGAACGGAAUUCCUGGUGUAGCGGUGAAAUGCGCAGAUAUCAGGAGGAACACCGGUGGCGAAGGCGGUUCUCUGGGACGGUACUGACGCUGAGACACGACAGCAUGGGGAGCGAACGGG